AGCUCCAAUAGCGUAUAUUAAAGUUGUUGCAGUUAAAAAGCUCGUAGUUGGAUUUCUGGUGGGGACGUUUGGCCGGCCGUAACGGUUUGCGCUGAAAUGUUCUUCGCCAUCCUUGACGAAUACUGGUUCGCCAUUAAGUUGUGUGGGCUUGGAGUCGUCAUCGUUUACUGUGAAAAAAUUAGAGUGUUCAAAGCAGGCUUAUGCCGUUGAAUACAUUAGCAUGGAAUAAUAAGAUAGGACCCUGGUACUAUUUUGUUGGUUUGCGUACCUAGGUAAUGAUUAAUAGGGACAGUUGGGGGUAUUUGUAUUCCGUUGUCAGAGGUGAAAUUCUUGGAUUUACGGAAGACAAACUACUGCGAAAGCAUUUACCAAGGAUGUUUUCAUUA
rnacentral:rRNA from 2 species